GGACCUGAAAGAUGCUGGAACUGGAGCAGGACUGGGGGUUCUGAGGGGAGCCAGGGGCACUGAGGGUCACAGGAUUUGUCUGAAGGGAGCCUGCAGCUCGAGCCAGAUGUGCAAUCCUGGCACAGAUCAGAGCACACACAGGUAGUGGUUGGAAAAACACACUUAGCUCCUUCUCAGCGUUACCACAACUCAGCACCUCCCAAAAGUCCAGAGCCUUGCUCAGACCAUGGCACGCUUUGCCUGGGACACAGCUGAAAUAUUCCAAAUACAAUGCACAAAAAGCAUUCAUCUCUGGGAUAAAUCUCACUUAGUGAAGUUUUUGGAACCAGUAUAGUCAUGUCUUGGUAACAUGAAGAAAAUCAACAGAGAGAGCAGCCAGAUUCCCUUAAAAUGGUGUUUGGGAUACAAGUGGGCUUGUUGCCUUGCUCCUCCUGGAAGCAUCUCCUUUGGAGAGACUGAAUGUGGUAAAAUGUAAAAGGCUGCAGCACUUCCUGUGUUAAAAAAGCUGAUUUUUAAUGACCUGCUCUAUUACCAUCCCAGCAGACAGGGGUUUGUAUGUGCAGCUGGGAAUCUAUUUUUGUGCUCUGCAUGAGUAUUGGGGCAGGUUUCUGGGCUGGGAUCUCAGAGAAGUAAAUCAAAACUAAAUCAAAACUCUGCUUAAGGACUCAAACUGUCUCCUGUGGAGCUUAAAGUCUCUUUUUAUUACUGGAAUGCUUUUUCACAGAACUGGAAGUUGAGUAUUUCUGAGGCUUUCCUAAGUGAGGGAAAGAAUUAGUACAGUAAAGGCUGGAGGGGGCUUGGAACAACCUGGACUAGUGGAAGGUGUCCCUGCCUGGUGCCAAGUGGUGGCAGCGCUGAUGUCCCUUUCAGACUGAAAUCCAGACGCCGAUUGCCCUCCCUGGCACUGGGAGGGGUCGGGCAGUGCCAGCCGUGUCCUGCUGUCCCCCUCCUGCCCUUCCUGCAGCACGCUGGGUGUGGGACGAGCGCCGGGGGUGCCGUGGGAGCGCAGGAAGCGCCGAUCCAUGGAGAGGCGAGCAGGGAUGGCCGCUGGAAGUGUAUCCUCCAAGAGGCAAGGUUGCUUCAGGCUCUUUGCUGAGGUUGAAAUGAAGCUCUGCCGUGUGUCAGAGCUGAACCAGAGGAGCUGAGGUGAAUUACCUGACCUGGAGGAAUGCAUCCACUGCUGGAGUGAGUCCCGAGGAUGAUCCGAGGGAUGGGGCAGCUCUGCUGGGAGGAAAGGCUGGAGAACUGGGAUUGCUCAGCCUGGAGAAGCUUUGGGUGACCUCACUGUGGCCUCAUCUGAAGGGGCUACAAGAAGGAUGGAGUGGGACUAUUUCCCAGGGAUGGAGGGACAGGACACAGGGAAUGGCUUCCCACUGCCAGAGGGCAGGGAUGGAUGGGAGAGUGGGAAUUGGGAAUUCCUGGCUGGGAGGGUGGGCAGGCCCUGGCCCAGGUGCCCAGAGCAGCUGUGGCUGCCCCUGGAUCGCUGGCAGUGCCCAAGGCCAGGGUGGACACUGGGGCUGGGAGCACCUGGGAGUGUCCUUGCCCAUGGCAGGGGUGGGGCUGGAUGGGAUUUAAGGUCCUUCCAACCCAAACCAUUCCAUGAUUCCAUGAUUCUGUAUAUUCUGGUUAAUUAGAAUGUGGUGCAGGGGGUUUUUGUCCUUUACAGUAUUUUCCCCUCUCAUCCCACAUCAUUUGCUGCAGCCCCAAGGAGGAGAGAGCUGGUGCCAGUUCCAUCUCAGAGCCUCUCUCCCUGUCCCCUUCUCCAUCCCCUGUAGGAACCAGGACAUUCUGGGAAGCUCCCAAGGUUUGCAUCACACUUCUGCCACAGCUGACUUGGACCCUUUGGAACUAGAAACAAGGCUUGGUUCAGGCAGUGGCUCUAAAAAGCAUUCUGAGGAGCUGGGGAUGCUGAGCUCUGAGGUUCCUUUCAUCAAAACCCAGAAGGAACAGAAACCCCUGUGGGGACAGCCCUGCACUGUCACUGCUCUGGGCACACCUCAAAGAACUUCUGAGAAAAGGAUCUUUUUCCCUUGGAUUAGUCACGGUGUUUGGACAAACAUGGCCUUGUUUCCUCAAGAAAUGUACCAGCACCACUGUGUUUAUUUCUCCACAGCCUCAACCAGCAGGAGGAUGGGGGAGCCCAGCUGAACAUUUGGAUGAGAAAAUCUGGUAUUGGUGUUACAGAAUGUGCUGAACUAUUUUUAUGGAUGAAAUGAAUGAAAUUAUCCCAGAUUAAAUUGCUGCCAGGGGCACUGCUGGAAGGCACAGGGACACCCCAGCCAAGGCCCAGGAUCCUUUCCUGCUGCAUCCAGAAGGUGCUGCUGGGGGACUUACACUGAUUCUAACAGCUCCAAAGGGACCAUGUGGAGCCCAGGAGCAGCUCAGACUCGGGUGGUGAAAGCACAGCACCAUUUCCCUGCCUUGAGGGAAGAAGGUCUCUGAACAGACAUGCAUCAAGUGAAAUGAAGUGAUUUAUGUCCCAGAGCAGUCUGCAGCUCAUUCACAACAUGAUACCUGCAUGUUUUGGGAGGUUGGUUGGGCUUUCUUCCAGGGCUCCUUAUCAAAUUCAUGACAGAGUGGCUGGGAGGUGAAUGUGCUGUUCAACAUCUCAGGUAAAACUCAGCCCUUUGCUUUCUACACCUUGAAAAGGUAAAUAAAUCCUUUGGCUUAAAUCACAA